rnacentral:lncRNA from 10 species
ACUUCACAGAAUUUGUAAGGCUGGAAGAAUCGGCCUGUGGCUGCUUCCAGCCUGGGAAAGGGAUGGGCCACAAGAUGGCGCCGCGCGUGCGGCGGUGAAGGCCGAGGCCGCCAGUGCCAGGUGGAUGCCCGCCCUCCCCCAGGCCCUCAGGCCACGAGCAGGGGCGGGGGCACGGCUCACGAUGUCAUUUACACCGAGACAAAAGCCUAAAUUGCUCCCUGUGCUUUCAGUGACCUAGGCCUUCCUCUCGUAUUCUCUUUCUCUCGUAUUCUCAAGUGUUUCUAGAAAUGUGCUCUGGAGACAUCCCCAAGCCAGUAGCUCCUCCCUCAUUCUGAGAAGGCGGUUUAGUGCAGCUGGUCUCUGAAGGCAUUGGGUGUUUUCCCCUCAGCUCCCGAGGGACAGCGUGGGAGGGUGGUGCUCUGGGCCUUCUCUCUACCAUGCUUUGUUGUUGUUGAUUUGUUUAAGCGCCAAACACUGAGUUUCCUUAAUGUACCUGUGGGAAGAUCAGUGGCAGAACUAGCAGAGGCUGUGUCCGGGCGCGGUGGCUCGCGCCUGUAAUCCCAGCUACUGGGGAGGCUGAGGCAGGAGAAUCGCUUGAGCCUGGGAGGU